rnacentral:ncRNA from 1 species
GUGUAAGUUACUCAAGGGCAUGCGGUGGAUGCCUUGGGAGAAGUGACCGAAGAAGGACGUAGCAGACCGCGUUAGGCCUCGGGUAGGUGUCAAGCAACCUGUGAUCCGGGGAUUUCCGAAUGGAGCAAUCCUCCCGCCAAUUUAGGGCUGGUAUAUCAAAUAUCCCAACCGAUAAAUAAUUCGUUAAUUAGUCGGGUGGGCAGUAGCGAUAUACGAGCUUUAAAUUGGCGGGAACCCAUUGCUGAAUACAUAGGCGAUGUGGAGGAAACCGUGCGAACUGAAACAUCUUAGUAGCACGAGGAAAAUAGAACAAAUGUUAUUCCCUAAGUAGUGGCGAGCGAAAAGGGAGAAGUCUAAACUCUCUUGCGUGUUAAAGCCUACUGGCGUUGCGCAGGAGGGGGUUACAAGGAUAAUGCAUUUUGGGCGGUAGACCAAAUGAGGAGUUACAAAUGAUUUUCUUAGCUAAAGGUCCCUGGAAAGGGCAACCAAAGAGGGUGAUAGUCCCGUAAGCGAAAAGAAGAUCACUCUGAGCGUUAUUUCUUAAGUACGGUGGGACCCGUGAAAUCCCGCCGGAAUGUGCCAGGACCAUCUGGUAAGGCUAAAUAUCACUUCUCACCGAUAGUGAACAAGUACCGUGAGGGAAAGGUGAAAAGUCCCCCGGCGAGGGGAGUGAAAUAGUACCUGAAACCGAAUGCCCAUCUAAAAGUCGGAGCCCCGCCAUUUUAGCGCUGGUGUCGACGCUAUAUGAUGUAGACAUGCACUAUGUCUAUGUCUUACUCAAUCUAAAAACCCAUAAACCAUACAUUGGCCAGACCAAAAGCCUGCGCCAGAGGUUUUCAGCCCAUCAAGGGCAUGGCAGUUUUAACCUCGUAUAUUAUGAAGCCUAUCGUGACCCCCACGCGGCUUACAAACGAGAAAAACUGCUGAAAAAUUAUGGAACAACUUGGACUAGGUUGAAACAGCGUUUAGAUACGAGCUUUAAAAUGGCGGGGUGACGGCGUGCCUUUUGUAGAAUGAGCCAACGAGUUAAUUUCUGUUGCAAGGCUAAGAACUUAUCGUUCGCAGCCGAAGCGAAAGCAAGUGCGAAUAGCGCGAUUGAAGUAGCAGGGAUUAGACCCGAAACCGGGUGACCUAACCAUGGUCAGGCUGAAGCUGCCGUAAAAAGCAGUGGAGGGCCGCACCCACCUACGUUGAAAAGUGGGGGGAUGAACUGUGGUUAGCGGAGAAAUUCCAAUCGAACCCGGAGAUAGCUGGUUCUCCCCGAAAUAUAUUUAGGUAUAGCCUCAGAGCGUUCCCGGCAGUGGUAGAGCUACUGAAUGGAUUCGGGCGGUUUACCGUACCGCGUCCAAUUAAACUCCGAAUACUGUCCGGUUAAGCCCGGGAGUCAGAAAACGGCGGCUAAGCGUCGUAUGUCGAAAGGGAAACAGCCCAGACCGCCAUCUAAGGUCCCUAAAUUCAGCUAAGUGUGAAAGGAAGUGGAGACACAUGAACAACCAGGAGGUUGGCUUAGAAGCAGCCAUCCUUCAAAGAAAGCGUAACAGCUCACUGGUCGAUGUGUGUCUGCGCCGAAAAUUUAACGGGGCUAAGCUGAAUACCGAAGAUGCGGGCUCUGCCGUAAGGCAGAGCGGUAGGGGAGCGUUCUGCGCAGCAGUGAAGUUUAACCGCGAGGUUGGAUGGAGCGCGCAGAAGUGAGAAUGUUGGCACGAGUAGCGAGAUUAGAGUGAAAAACUCUAACGCCGAUUUAUCCGAGGUUUCCUGGGCGACGGUUUUCGACCCAGGGUUAGUCGGUCCUAAGCCGAGGCCGCAAGGCGUAGGCGAUGGACAACAGGUUAAUAUUCCUGUACUGCUUAAUGUUCGCCCAAGACAAGCAAACUGGUAGGCCAGAUGAUCGUCCCGCCAAUUUAGGGCUGGUAUCUUGGUAGUUUCUUAAUCGUUUUACGUUUAUAUGUAAUUGGUCGAGAGAUAACCAUAGGUACAAGCGUUAAAUUGGCGGGAUGGAUGCUGGUUCUGCUGGUCUGCACGUCUAGCAAUGGGGUGACGCAAGUUGGUAGGCCGAGCUGAGAUAGGUUUCUCAGUCUAAGCAACAAGUGGGUUCCUUUGGCAAAUCCGGGGAACGUCCGAGCAAUCGGAGAACCGCGAGUUGUAAUGGAAAGUUGAGUCUUUCGGGACAAGGCGAUUUGGCUGAUCUAAGUUGACCAGAAAAACCUCUAGCGAGAACAUUGAGCAUCCGUACCUAAACCGACACAGGUGGAUAGGGCGAGUAGCCUAAGGCGCACGAGAGAACCCUCUUUAAGGAACUCGGCAAAAUAGCGUCCGUAACUUCGGAAUAAGGACUGCCCCCCACUUUCUGCGCAUAGCGCUCAUGCGCUAAGCAACGCAAGUUGGUGCGUAGAAAGUGGGGGGCCGCAGCUAAAGACAUCAGGCGACUGUUUAGCAAAAACACAGGUCUCUGCUAACUCGAAAGAGGAGGUAUAGGGGCUGACGCUUGCCCGGUGCCAGAAGGUCACGUAG